rnacentral:rRNA from 1 species
AGAGCGGCGUACGGGUGCGGAACACGUGUGCAACCUACCUUUAUCUGGAGGAUAGCCUUUCGAAAGGAAGAUUAAUACUCCAUAAUAUAUUGAUUGGCAUCAAUUAAUAUUGAAAGCUCUGGCGGAUAGAGAUGGGCACGCGCCAAGAUUAGUUAGUUGGUGAGGUAACGGCUCACCAAGACGAUGAUCUUUUAGGGGGGCCUGAGAGGGUGAUCCCCACACUGGUACUGAGACACGGACCAGACUCCUACGGGAGGCAGCAGUGAGGAAUAUUGGACAAUGGGUGCAAGCCUGAUCCAGCCAUCCCGCGUGAAGGACGACUGCCCUAUGGGUUGUAAACUUCUUUUGUAUAGGGAUAAACCUCUCCUCGUGAGGAGAGCUGAAGGUACUAUACGAAUAAGCACCGGCUAACUCCGUG